rnacentral:rRNA from 1 species
CCUACGGGAGGCAGCAGUGGGGAAUAUUGCACAAUGGGGGAAACCCUGAUGCAGCGACGCCGCGUGAGUGAAGAAGUGAUUCGUCACGUAAAGCUCUAUCAGCAGGAAAGAAAAUGACGGUACCUGACUAAGAAGCCCCGGCUAACUACGUGCCAGCAGCCGCGGUAAUACGUAGGGGGCAAGCGUUAUCCGGAUUUACUGGGUGUAAAGGGAGCGUAGACGGCAGGGCAAGUCUGAAGUGAAAGGCAGGGGCUUAACCCCUGAACUGCUUUGGAAACUGCCAUGCUAGAGUGCUGGAGAGGUAA